rnacentral:rRNA from 1 species
AUUGAACGCUGGCGGCAUGCUUUACACAUGCAAGUCGAACGGUAACAGGCCUUCGGGCGCUGACGAGUGGCGAACGGGUGAGUAAUGCAUCGGAACGUGCCCAGUCGUGGGGGAUAACGCAGCGAAAGCUGUGCUAAUACCGCAUACGAUCUGUGGAUGAAAGCGGGGGACCUUCGGGCCUCGCGCGAUUGGAGCGGCCGAUGUCAGAUUAGGUAGUUGGUGGGGUAAAGGCUCACCAAGCCAACGAUCUGUAGCAGGUCUGGGAGGACGACCAGCCAGCCUGGGACAGAGACACGGCCCAGACUCCUACGGGAGGCAGCAGUGGGGAAUUUUGGACAAUGGGCGCAAGCCUGAUCCAGCAAUGCCGCGUGCAGGAAGAAGGCCUUCGGGUUGUAAACUGCUUUUGUACGGAACGAAACGGUCCUGGUUAAUACCUGGGGCUAAUGACGGUACCGUAAGAAUAAGCCCCGGCUAACUUCGUGCCAGCAGCCGCGGUAACAC